GACGAACGCUGGCGGCGUGCCUAACACAUGCAAGUCGAGCGGGGUCCAUCCAGUGGCAACACUGGGGAAGACCUAGCGGCGAACGGGUGAGUAACACGUGAGGAACUUGCCCCGGAGUACGGGAUAACCCGAGGAAACUCGAGCUAAUACCGUAUGCCCUCUUCUGGUCGCAUUGCCGGAUGAGGAAAGAUUCAUAGCUCCGGGAGAGCGUCGCGGCCUAUCAGCUAGUUGGUGGGGUAAUGGCCCACCAAGGCAUCGACGGGUAGCUGGUCUGACAGGACGAUCAGCAACACUGGGACUGAGACACGGCCCAGACUCCUACGGGAGGCAGCAGUGGGGAAUCUUGCGCAAUGGGCGAAAGCCUGACGCAGCAACGCCGCGUGCGGGAUGACGGCCUUCGGGUUGUAAACCUCUUUCAGCAGGGACGAAGCGAAAGUGACUGUACCUGCAGAAGAAGCGCCGGCUAACUACGUGCCAGCCGCCGCUGUAACAC
rnacentral:rRNA from 1 species